GGGUUGGCUGUAGCUCAGCAGUUACUUCUCUGACAUUCAAAGCUGAAUAAUCCUCUUGGGGGUUUGAAUCCCGCGGGCGCUAUCUAACCUUUUU